rnacentral:rRNA from 18 species
AAAACGACUCUCGGCAACGGAUAUCUCGGCUCUCGCAUCGAUGAAGAACGUAGCGAAAUGCGAUACUUGGUGUGAAUUGCAGAAUCCCGUGAACCAUCGAGUUUUUGAACGCAAGUUGCGCCCAAAGCCAUUAGGCUAAGGGCACGUCUGCCUGGGCGUCACGCAUCACGUCGCCA